rnacentral:rRNA from 2 species
AAACGAUGUUAGCUUGCUAACAGGCGUCGAGUGGCGGACGGGUGAGUAACGCGUAGGAAUCUACCAAAUAGCGGGGGAUAGCCCGGAGAAAUCCGGAUUAAUACCGCAUAAUCUCUACGGAGUAAAGAGGGCCUCUAUUUAUAAGCUUUCACUAUUUGAUGAGCCUGCGUAAGAUUAGCUUGUUGGUGAGGUAACGGCCCACCAAGGCGACGAUCCGUAGCUGGUCUGAGAGGACGAUCAGCCACACUGGGACUGAGACACGGCCCAGACUCC